rnacentral:tRNA from 1 species
GCCUGGGUGGCUCAGUCGGUUGAGCGGCCGACUUCAGCUCAGGUCAUGAUCUCGCAGUCCGUGGGUUCAAGCCCCGCAUCAGGCU